UGAACUUUGAAAAUCCAAAUAGGAGAAACCCUAUACAGAGAAACAAAACCCCAUUUCAGAGAAACCAUUUGAAAAUCAAAUUAGAGAAACCCUCCUAUUCCUCUCUCGAUCUCAACUCGAUUCCUUGCCAUUUGGUCUGUCGGCGACUUUGACGUUCUACAAUAGCUCUCUCUCCGACAAUCGAAGGUUUCUCGUCUCCAUCUUAUGCUUAGUCUCGGAGCGAAUGACUUCAACUUCUCAGUUCUCACUCUCAGUCCGACGGUGAAGCUCGAGCUCUCAGGUUAUUGUAGCAAUGGACUCGGGUCCAACUGAUCCUACUGUGUUGACGCUACAACAGUCUCACCGAUCCUCUUUAGCAUGGACUACCUCGGAUGAUGUUGACUCCGUUAUACUUACAUGUCAAUGCCGCAAAGCUACGAUAGGAUGUAUGGGACCCCCUGAUGCAUGCAUAGGCCCAUACUUGCAGAGAGCAAGAUUUUUUGGACUCAUCCAUGUGCUGUUCAUACAGUUAGAUUGGUAUCUUAUUACUGCACUAAUAAAGAGGUGCCGAUCGGAGACACACACAUUUCACUUAACAUCUGGGGAGGCAACCAUCACAUUGCAAGAUGUCAGUAACUUAUCUGGACUACAGGUUGAUGGUAACGCUAUUACAGGGAAUACUGGUUAUGAUUGGCCUGCUGUAUGCAAUAGUCUUUUAGGGACAGUUCCACCUACCAACCAGCUCAAAGGCUCGAGGUUGAACAUGACGUGGCUUUCCCAGACUUAUGAUGACUUACCCAUUGAUGCUGAUGAUGUCACAGUUCAGUGCUAUGCUAGAGCAUUCAUUCUCCAACUUUUGGGUGGUAGCAUUUCUGCAGGCAAAUUUGGUAGUAUGGUGUAAUUGAUGUUUCUGCCUUUACUAGAGGACUUUGAUGCUGUUAGGGAAUACAGUUGGGGGAGUGCAGCACUAGCUUGGUUGUAUCGAGAGUUAUAUCGUGUAUCUUGCGAACGUGUGCAUGACAUUUCUGGUUUUCUCAUCCUUGUUCAAAUCUGGACGUGGUAUAGAUUUCCCCACAUUGGUCCACGUCGUCUUCUUAGACAACCAGUAGCGGACGGUCCGCUCAUCACACAUUGGCGGAAUGCAUUUAUUGUUUGAGAGAUUUCCACUCAUGUCCUCUGUCAAUAUCGUUAUUCCUUGGACAGGCAGGCCUUUGCAUAAAUGGCGUGGCGACCUUACAGUACUGAGUUGAUUAAGGGGCUUCCACUAUAUUGUUCGGAUGGUGUAGAUAUAUGGCAAGCAGUAGUUGUAUUCAUUUGUUUUUUCAUUGUUGAGAUGCACCAUUUUGAUAAGAGUACAAUGACAAUUUGGAUUUUGCUAGACUAUUCCCCACAAUUGUGACACUAUCAUUGCUCUUCAUAACCUCGAUUUACGUGGAACCAAAACUAAAGAUUGGGUGAACCAUCACAAAAAGUGGAUUCAAUUAUGGGAUCAACGCCGAACCCACAUUGUUGUAGGUGAACCAUGAGAUGGUAAUAUGCAUGAUGAUGAUCCAUACAUGGUAUGGUAUCGACGUAUCACUCAUCAAUACAUUAGUCGUGCUGCAUGUACAUUUGAUUCCGUGACUGGUCAUUUGGUACAAAUAUGUAACGCAUCACUAGGGGGAUCACAUAUUGGCACACUGGCUAGCCAGGCACUUGCAAUUCUUCAUGAUCAAGAUCGCUUCGCAAGGGUACCUCCACCACAGCCUGCCGUUCACAUACAUGGAGAGACACAACCAUCUGAUAGGGUAGAUAGUGAGCCACAUAGGGAGAGGGACUUUACCUCUAUACCAGAUCUCAAAUCCAUGUUAAAUGAUUGGUGUCAAACCCCUAUCCGCAUGGAAGAUUUUGGGAAUGCAAUGACAGAACAACAUGAAGAAGUGGUCACACAUUCUGAGGAGGGUAUUUCUCAUACAGUAGCAGGGGCUCUACAUUCUGGAGAUGGACUGACACAAUCACCCAAGAGGGUUCAAGCCUUUACCGAGACAAUCACACAUAGUGAAGAGAGGGGAUCACAUGCUGAUGAGCAACAUCUUGGGACUACACAUGCAUCGCAUGAGGAAGUCCCAGUAUCUGCCAUUACACAGUCUGAAAAGGGAGGUACUCAAAGCGGAAAUGGGAUUCCAUUGUCUACCGAGAGAGUUACACAUUGUGGGGAAGGGGAAUCACAUGUUGAUGAGCGAGUACUACCUAUUGUGCCUGUGGACCCUGUUCUUGAUAGGAGGAAGUGACGCAGAUAUCAAGCUACUGAGGAGGGUGUCACACAGGUUCCAGAACCCCCACGUCGCAAGGGAACUUGCAAAAUUAGACAUCCUAGGUAGAGGAAAAGCGGUGACCCUUGCCCAAUUACAUGGAAAAUGUUCAAAAUGAUACUAAUCAAACAAUAUUCCUAUCUCAUGCUGUAAGCAGGAACAAGCUUCAGCUUUUUGGUGUUUCUUGCAUGCUUGUUGCCUCGUAUGCUCAUCAACUCCAUUGUAUAUAGUCUUAUUUUUCUUGGUCAUUACAUGGGUUGAUUCUCUUAAUGGUACUCUUUUAUGGUUGAUAAUGCAGCAACUAUGAAAAGAUUACUGCUCCCCACGUUGAAGAUUUUUGCUAUAUAACAAAUAAAACUCAUACAAAAGAAGAGGUGAGUUUGUCCCCACGAAUUUGUCUUCAUCUUUUUUUUUCCCACAAAUAAAAUCUAUCAAUGCUUGUACAUGUUUUGGAGGGGUGAUUGUGCAAGUGGUGAAGAUGGAGCGAGAUGUCCUCAACUUUUUGAACUAUGAGAUAGGUACUCCCACAGUAUAAAAUUUUAUUAGAAUUUUCACCAGGAAUGAUUUUCAUUAGGUAAGUACUAGUUCCAUUUAUUUACUGGUGCAAUAGACUGUUUCCAUUAUAGCCUUAAUGGUAGAAGUCUGAGGAAAGAUUUUCCAUAUUUGUUCAAUCUCUCAAUGGAUAAGGAAGGCACAUUGAAGUUUUUUUAUCACAGGAAAAGACAGGACACAGAUUGGAAGCUGGAGUUUAGGAGAUCACUUUUAGCUUGGAGGAAGAGGAGGUUCAAAGACUUACUGGAUUAUUAUUAGAGGCAUCUCAUCUUAAUGAUACAGCAGAGGAUUCUUGUUCAUGGCUGGAAAAUAGUUCAGAAGUGUUCUUUGUGGCUUCAGUUUGGCAAAGGGUGGAGGUAGCUAAAGGGCCAAUGCUCAGCAUUUCAAAGGUUCUAUGGAAAAAGUCAGCACCUCCAAAGGUUUGGUUCUUCAGUUGGUUAGCUUGGAGAGUGAGAAUAAAGUCUGCAGAGUUUAUGCAUCGGUUUGGUGUAUUGAAUGAUAAUGUUAGUUCUCUGUGUGUGUUUUGUAAGGCAAGGGUCGAAACAACUAAUCAUGUGUUGUUGUUAUGCCCUUUGAUCUGGAAUGUAUGGUCUGUCUUGGUAAACUGGUGGGAUGUAAAAUGGGUAACACUAGGUUCUGUGGAGGUUUUGCUGCGCUGGUGGUUUGGAAUGAAAUGGAGGAAGAAGGAGAUGGAGAUUUGGAAGGUUGUCCCUUUGGCAAUGUUGUGUCUGUUUGGAAACUAACGAAUGAGUGUUUAUUUAAGGAAGGUCAUGCUGAUCUUGCAGGAUUGGGGGAGUUGGUGAAAGUCAGAACUGCUCUAUGGGUGAAGUCUAAUAUGAAGGGUGUUAACUACUCAGUGCAUAAUGAUGUCACAAAUUUGAAGCAAGUCAGAAGUUGUUUAUAAGCUAUUAGAGGAGUAUGCUGGUGUAUUAUUUCUGCUGUGAGGAUGUCUUUGUUGUAUGUCUGCAGGUGAGAUGUUGUUUAGAAGGAAGAAGAGAUUUGCUCGUGUGUGCUCUUGUUUUGAGGUGCAGAAAAACAAUUGAUGCUGUUGGUAGCUCACCGGUUUGGUGUUGCUGUAGUGCUACUGCUGCUGCUGUAUUGUUGCUCGUGCUGUCAAUGGUUUGGUUUGCUACUGGUGUUGCUGGUGCUGUGGAUGGUUUGGUUUGGUGCUGUAUAUUGCUGCUGAUACUUCUGAGUGCUGGGUGAUUUGUUUGCUGGUUGGAGAUGCUAUUGUUGUAGAUUGCUGCAGAUGCUGCGGAUUUGCUGCUGCUCGUUAGGUGGAGUUUCCUAGUUGCAAGUAGUUGUUUUUUGUCAUUGGUCAAGCUUAAUGGAUUGCUUUGCUAUGGAAGUUGGUGUCUGAUUCUUGUUUCUUGUUCUGUGUUUUGUUGUUGCUCUGUAUGUUGGUUUCUCAUCAACUUGGAGCAUGGAGCUUGGUUAGGAUCUUGAUGGUUCAUGAUACUUUUUGCACUCUCCUCUUUAUUAAUAUCAUCAUAUUUUGUAUGUUUUUCUAUCAAUAAAGCUUUCUUUUUGCUGAUAAAAAAACUAAUGCCA